rnacentral:rRNA from 1 species
UACGGGGGGGGUAAGCGUUGUCCGGAAUCAUUGGGCGUAAAGCGCGUGUAGGCGGUUACGUAAGUCUGCUGUGAAAGUCGGAGGCUCAACCUUCGAAAGCCGGUGGAUACUGCGUGACUAGAGUACGGAAGCGGAGAGUGGAAUUCCUGGUGUAGCGGUGAAAUGCGCAGAUAUCAGGAGGAACACCAACGGCGAAGGCAGCUCUCUGGGACGUUACUGACGCUGAGACGCGAAAGCGUGGGGAGCAAACAGG